CUGGCCCUGAAUUGAGGCUGGCAGCUUCCUGACAUGUUGUUUUCAAAUAGGAGCCUAAAGAGAUGUCUUUCUAUGGUCUGUUGGCCAUUUCAGAACUUGAGCAAUAAAUGGUCAAUUCAUUAGAAAGAAACAGCU
ensembl:snoRNA small nucleolar RNA SNORA2/SNORA34 family